UAUCUCUGUAGAGUCUGCAUAUCAAUAAGCGGAGGAAAAGAAACUAACAAGGAUUCCCUUAGUAACGGCGAGUGAAGCGGGAAGAGCUCAAAUUUGAAAUCUUCAAGGUUCUACCUUGACGAAUUGUAGUUUAAAGAAGUGUUUUCUGUUAGAUGAGUAGCAAAAGUUCCUUGGAAUGGGACAUCAUAGAGGGUGAGAAUCCCGUAUUUGGUUAUUCAUUCUAGCUUUGUGAUACACUUUCAAAGAGUCGGAUUGUUUGGGAAUGCAGUCCAAAAUGGGUGGUAAAUUUCAUCUAAAGCUAAAUAUUGGCGAGAGACCGAUAGCGAACAAGUACCGUGAGGGAAAGAUGAAAAGAACUUUGAAAAGAGAGUUAAACAGUACGUGAAAUUGUCAAAAGGGAAGCGUUUGACACCAGUGUUGUUUUUCCGAAAAUCAAUUACGAAUGGCUUGAUUCUGUGUUGUAUUGACCUUAUCAGCUUUCUUCACUUUUUUCGAGUCUUUCUUAAUGCACUUUUCGGUUAACAAGUCAACAUCAAUUUCUUUUGUUGUAAAAGAGUAUUCGGAAGGUGGCUUUCUUUUCGGAGAAAGUGUUUAUAGCCCUAUACUUCUACAAUCGGAGAGAUUGAGGUCUGCAGCGUAGAUCCUUCGGGGUUAGAUACACUUGUGCUAAGUUGUAGCUUUUCAUAGACAACUUGUUGACUAUGUUUAGUCAUGCGGCUUACUCGCUUGUGCUAUUUUACCUACGCUUAGGAUGUUGAAGAUGUAGCACAUCA
rnacentral:rRNA from 1 species